GGAGAAUGGCGUGAAUCCGGGAGGCAGAGCUUGCGGUGAGCUGAGAUUGUGCCACUGGACUCCAGCCUGGGAGACAGAGACUCUGUCUCAAAAAAAAAAAACAAAAAACAAAAAACAACUGAGAAACUGAAUACUGUCUUAAAUAUAGACCAAUACUAAGGUCGAUCUCAGAAAUACAAAGGUGUCUUAACAUUAGAAAAAUCCAUAAUAAUCCUCUAAAUUAACAAAGGACACAAAUAUAUAAUCAUCUCAAAGCAGACGGGAGUUUGAGACCAGCCUGGGCAACAGAGCAAGAUCCCAUCUCUACAAAAAAAUUGAAAAAUUAGCUGAACGUAGUGGCACAUGCCUGUGGUCCUAGCUGCUCAGGAGGCUGAGACAGGAGGAUUCCUUAAGCCCAGGAGUUUGAGGCUGCAGUGAGCUAUGAUGGCACCACUGCACUCUGCCUGGGCAACAGAGUAAGACUGCGUCCCUUAAAAAAAAAAAAAAAGGGUCAGUUGUUUUCCUACCAGCAAUGAACAAUUAGAUUUUGACAUUUAAAACACAACGCCAUUUACAUUAGCACCAAAAAAAUGAAAUCCUUAGGUAUAAACAACAAAAUAUGUACAAGAUCUAUAUAUGAUGAAAACUACAAAAUUCUGAUGAAAGAAAUAAAAGAUCUUUCCAACUUGAGCUACAGAUUCAAUGUAAUCCCAAUCAAAGUCUCAGCAAGUUAUUUUGUAAACUAUUGACAAACUGACUCUAAAAUGUAUAUGGAGAGGGAAAAAACCUAGAAUAGUCAAAACACUAUUGAAGAGAACACUGAAGUGAGAACAGGGGCGGUAACUGACUGCAAGGCCUACUACAGAGCUACAGGAACCAAGACAGUGUGGGAUUGCUGAGAAGAACAAACAGAUCAAUGCAAUGGAACAGAGAGCUCAGAAAUAGACCCAUGCAAAUGCAGUCAACUGAUUUUUUACAAAGAAACAAAGGCAACAAAAUGACCCAAAAAGAGUCUUCUUGACAGAUGGUACCAAAACAACUGGACAUCCACAUGCAAAAAAAAAAAAAAAAAAAAAAAUCUAGACACAAACCAUAAACCCUUCACAAAAGUUAACUCAAAAUGAAUCAUGGACCUAGAUGUAAAAUGCAAAACUUUAAAAAUCCUAGAAUAUAACACAGGAAAAAAUCUAGGUACCCUUGGGCUUGGCAGUAACUUUUUAGAUACAACACCAAAAACAUGAUACAUGAAAGAGAACAUUGAUAAGCUGGACUUCCUUGAAAUGAAAACUGGCUCUGCAAAAGAUACUGUUAAUAGAAUGAAAAGACAAGACACAGGCAGAAAAUAUUUGCGAAAGACAUAUCUGAUAAAGGACUGGCAGCCAAAAUAUAUGAAGAACUAAAACUCAACAAUAAGAAAAUUUAAUUUAAAAAUGAGCCAAAGACUUUAAAGGACACAUCACUGAAAAAGAUACACAGAUGGCAAAUAACUAUAUGACAAGAUUUUAACAUAAUGUCAUUAGGGAAUUGCAAAUUGAAACAAGGAGAUACCACUACACACCUCUUAGAAAGGCUAAAACCCAAAACACAACAGCAAAUGCUGGUGAGGAUGUGGAGCAACAAAACGCUCAUCAUUGCUGGUGGAAACGCAAAUGGUGCAGCCACUUAAGAUACAGUUUGGCAGCUUCUUACAGAACUAAACACACUCUUACCAUAGGAUCCCGCAAUCAUGCUUCUUGGCAUUUACCCAAAUGAGCUGAAAACUUAUGUGCACGCUAACAUUGAUAGCAACUUUAUUCAUAGUUGCCAAAACUUGGAAGCAAGCAAGACAUUCACCUUAGUAGGUGAAUGAAUAAACUGUGGUACAUCCAGACAAUGGAAUAUUAUUCAGCACUAAAAAGAAAUGUGCUAUUGAGCCAUAGAAAGAGACUCAGGAAUCUUAAAUGCUUCUUACUAAGUGAAAUAGGUCAGUCUGAAAAGGCAAAACUAUGGAGACAGUAAAAAUAUCAGUGUUUGCUACUAAGGGGUUCUGGAGGCGGGGACAGCGCAGAGGACUCCGGGGCAGUGAGAUCCUGUGUGACACUGCAGUGGUGGGCACGUGCAUCACACAUCUGUGAAACCACAGAAUGAACAACAUGAAGAGGAAGCUGAAUGUAAACAAUGGACUCUGGACGAUAAUAAUUUAUGAAUGUUGCAAACGCACCACUUGAAUGCAAGAUGUUAGUACUGGGGAAACUUGAGGGAAGGUGCGAGGAGUUAGCGGCUUUAUGGGAACACUGCAUCUUCCACUCAAAUUUUCUGUAAAUUUAAAGCUGCUAUAAAAGAUAAAGUACAUAAAUUUUUUUAAAAGUUUAGCAAAAUUGUCUAGCUAUGAGAUCAGUAUCAAAAUCAAUUGCGUAAGAAUCUAUGCGUCCACAGUGAUAAAUAAGUAAAUAAACAGAGGCAAAGGAAAAGCUUUUGGAAGAACACCAACUAAUACAUAUGGAAGGAAUGAUAAUUUUGUAAGCAUUAUGCAAAUAAUUGAUUCAGGCAAGAAUCAUCAUCAAAUGCUAACACUAACAGGUAUAAGUAUGAUGAGAAAUAGGACGUUUACAUAGUCUAAAACUGUCUCCCCACAAAGAAAAAAAAAGCAACUUCAUAGCGGAGAAACUAAGUACAGCGGUCAUCACCUUAAUCAAGGGAUCAAAGUUGGUGUGUGCUUCCUGGUAAGGUGCAGGAGAAGGCCCCAUUUCUUCUGCAAUCUUCCUGACAAAAAUGUAGUUUCAUAACCUGAAUCUAAUCACGAGACACCAGAAAAAAAAAAACACUGAGGAUAUUCUACAAAAUAACUUGUGGAACAAUUCAAAAAUGACAAAGUCAUCAAACACAAGGAAAGAUUAAGGAAUUAUUCCAGGUUAAAAGGGUGUCAAUGUGAUAACUAAAUGCAACCCAUGUGCACAGUGAGAAGGGUAAGGAAAACAGAAAAAGAAAAGAAAAAUAAUUAAAAAUAAACAAAUGCAACCCAUGAUAUUGGAUUAAAGCUUGAGGGAAGAUUUUGCCAUAAAGGACAUUAUUGGAACAAUUAGGCCUGCAGAUUAGUAUUUCAUCAACAUUAACAUUCUGACUUACACUUGCACAAAAGAAUACACCUGCUAAGAAAUACUCAGGCAGUUAGGGGUACACAUCCUAUCUGCAAAUUCCUUUCCAAUGGUUCAAGAAAGAAUGGGCCUGGAUCAUGUGGGAAGACAGGUAAUGAAGCCCUGAGGGUAGAGCCUGGAUCAUGUGGGAGGACAGGUCAUGAAGCCCUGAGGGUAGAGCCUGGAUCACGUGGGAGGACAGGUCAUGAAGCCCUGAGGGUAGAGCCUGGAUCACGUGGGAGGACAGGUCAUGAAGCCCUGAGGGUAGAGCCUGGAUCACGUGGGAGGACAGGUCAUGAAGCCCUGAGGGUAGAGCCUGGAUCACGUGGGAGGACAGGUCAUGAAGCCCUGAGGGUAGAGCCUGGAUCACGUGGGAGGACAGGUCAUGAAGCCCUGAGGGUAGAGCCUGGAUCAUGUGGGAGGACAGGUCAUGAAGCCCUGAGGGUAGAGCCUGGAUCAUGUGGGAGGACAGGUCAUGAAGCCCUCAGGGUAGGGUGCCACCCACUAAAGAAUUCUAGUCAGAGUAAACAGGAGCACUUUUCAGUAUUUUUGUAACUUUUCUAUAAAUUUGUGAAUUUAAGGGAGAAUUUAAGUCUGUCUAGUAAAAUAGAAUAUUCCAUAUAAAUAGUGUUAAAGUAACUUGCAACUCCAAACUGUAUCUCAAAAACUCUCCAGGUAAGUUUAAAAUCUUUUUUUUUUUUUUGAGACGGUGUCUUGC
rnacentral:lncRNA from 1 species